CCUACGGGAGGCUGCAGUGAGGAAUAUUGGUCAAUGGACGAGAGUCUGAACCAGCCAAGUCGCGUGAAGGAUGACUGCCCUAUGGGUUGUAAACUUCUUUUAUAUGGGAAUAAAAUGUUCCACGUGUGGGAUUUUGUAUGUACCAUAUGAAUAAGGAUCGGCUAACUCCGUGCCAGCAGCCGCGGUAAUACGGAGGAUCCGAGCGUUAUCCGGAUUUAUUGGGUUUAAAGGGAGCGUAGGUGGAUUGUUAAGUCAGUUGUGAAAGUUUGCGGCUCAACCGUAAAAUUGCAGUUGAAACUGGCAGUCGUGAGUGCAGGAGAGGUGGGCGGAAUGCGUGGUGUAGCGGUGAAAUGCUUAGAUAUCACGAAGAACUCCGAUUGCGAAGGCAGCUCACUGGACUGCAACUGACACUGAGGCUCGAAAGUGUGGGUAUCAAACAGGAUUAGAUACCCGAGUAGUC
rnacentral:rRNA from 1 species